AACGCUAGCUACAGGCUUAACACAUGCAAGUCGAGGGGCAGCAUGUUGGUUGCUUGCAACCAAUGAUGGCGACCGGCGCACGGGUGAGUAACGCGUAUCCAACCUUCCCCUUACUCAGGAAUAGCCUGUUGAAAGACGGAUUAAUGCCUGAUGUUCUCAUGUUGCCGCAUGGUGAUGUGAGCAAAGAUUCAUCGGUAAGGGAUGGGGAUGCGUAUGAUUAGCUUGUUGGCGGGGUAACGGCCCACCAAGGCGACGAUCAUUAGGGGUUCUGAGAGGAAGGUCCCCCACACUGGAACUGAGACACGGUCCAGACUCCUACGGGAGGCAGCAGUGAGGAAUAUUGGUCAAUGGAGGCAACUCUGAACCAGCCAAGUAGCGUGCAGGAUGACGGCCCUAUGGGUUGUAAACUGCUUUUAUGCGGGGAUAAAUGAGCCUACGUGUAGGUUUUUGCAGGUACCGCAUGAAUAAGGACCGGCUAAUUCCGUGCCAGCAGCCGCGGUAAUACGGAAGGUCCAGGCGUUAUCCGGAUUUAUUGGGUUUAAAGGGAGCGUAGGCGGCCUGUUAAGCGUGUUGUGAAAUGUAGAGGCUCAACCUCUGCACUGCAGCGCGAACUGGCGGGCUUGAGUUGGCUGAAAGUAUGCGGAAUUCGUGGUGUAGCGGUGAAAUGCUUAGAUAUCACGAAGAACUCCGAUUG
rnacentral:rRNA from 1 species